rnacentral:rRNA from 1 species
UCUGAAUUUAAGCAUAUUAAUUAGGGGAGGAAAAGAAACCAACAGGGAUUCCCCCAGUAAGGGCGACUGAACGGGGAGGAGCCCAGCGCGGAACCUCGCGCGCCUGACCGGCUGCGUCUGAGGAAUGUCGCGUUUCGGAGGGGCCUUCUCCGACCACACCGACCCCCCCCAAGUCCGCUUGAACGCGGCCACUACCCAUGGAGGGUGCGAGGCCCGUACGGGGAUUAGGAGUCGGGCGGUCGGACGGCCCCGUCCGUAGAGUCGGGUUGCCUACUAACGCAGCCCAAAGCAGGUGGUAAACUCCAUCCAAGGCUAAAUACGACCACGAGACCGAUAGCGAACAAGUACCGUGAGG